rnacentral:lncRNA from 1 species
AUGGGAGCUGCCAGUUCCCGGAAUGGUCACCUCAACGUCGGAGUACGACAACAUCGGCGGUGGACGUGGAGCGUGAGCUCUUCGGCCGACUCAAGCCUCGCUGUCGAUCUAAUCCAGCUUGAGGCGCAGUCAAGUCCGUUUGUAGGAGUCACCCAGACAAAGGCCGAAGAAAAGGGCAAGGGUGAAGAGAGCUCAAGUGACCAAGUGUUCACGUUCGAAGGACCGAAAGAGUCCAAUAACAUCGAGAAAAUAGAAAAGGGUAGCGAGACUUCUGAGCAGUCGGGCGAUCACUCUCCUUUUAUGCUGGUAGAAGUCAAUCAACGCACAGAAAUGGAACAAUCUGUGUCUGCAAACCUUUUCAAUUGGGAUAACCUUAUUUCCAAAACUCAACAAACGACUACAAAAUCAGGGAAUGACGACACAAAUCAAGGGCUUGCUAACGAAAGUGAUAACCAGUGGUCCAAAACCGUUUGCUCCGACUCGGCUGAGGAGAGAGAUGUGCUCAAGUACAGCCCCGACAGCCUCCACCCAGGCAGCCAAGACGAACUGCGGUCUUCCGAUGGCGAUUCCUCAUGCGGAUUGGAAAUGGAAAGCAUCAUUGUGUCCGGCACAGUGAAAGAAACUGAACGGGAGAGACCAGUUCCAAGGGAGACCAAGAAGUCCAUGGAGACGUUCAGCAUGUUGUCCUACGCCGCGACCAUUCUCCAAGCGCAAUCUGUCCACAAACGCAAAGAAACAAGUUCAGAGCAAUCACCAAGUGCCUCAACUUCUGCCACUAUUCCGAAAAUCGUCAGCCCUAGCCUCGAAUCUUUAAGUAAAUCGGACGGCAAGCUACCGGAGGAAGACGAUAAACCAGCUGUGCCGCCCAGAAGUACAUCCCCGUCGCUCAGAUACCCGUCAGACCACUUUCUAAAAACCCGCGAGGAAGUUUAUGUGCAUUCGCAGAUCUCGAUGGAAGACUCGGAUGAGGGCGGGCAGUCACCCUCAGCCGUGCCACCUUCAUCUUUGGGUGACAUCCAGGCCUGGAGCGAUCAGCUGGAGAGACAGGACACCCAGGGGACCCCCCACACCCACACCUCAGGGACGUCCGAGCUGACCUCCCCCGUGGUCACAAAUAGCUCCGUGUCUCACAGCAGUUCGUACACGGAGUCUCCCCUGAGUGAGACAGCUCCUCCCCCAGAGAGAGGACUGGCCCUGCCCUUCGCUGGAGACCUGAUGGAAGAGGAGAAUGAGGAAGAGGAGGUCGAGGAAGAACCUAAAGAAAACUUGGCGGAGCAACAUGUGGACCAUACACAACUACGGUAA